rnacentral:miRNA from 1 species
AAGGCUUUCAUUAUGAUUUUAA